UUGGUGACAUGAUGAAUUAAAACCAAAUCACCAUCUUUCGUCUGAAAUUAUGAUGAUUUGUUUUUUUCUGAAAGAUCCA
rnacentral:snoRNA from 1 species